rnacentral:rRNA from 1 species
UACGUAGGCGGAAAAUUAAGUCAGUAGUGAAAUCCUGCAGCUUAACUGUAGAACUGUUAUUGAUACUGGUUUUCUUGAAUAUAGUUGAGGUAAGCGGAAUGUGUAAUGUAGCGGUGAAAUGCUUAGAUAUUACACAGAACACCGAUUGCGAAGGCAGCUUACUAAGCUAUGAUUGACGCUGAGGUACGAAAGCGUGGGGAGCGAACAGGAUUAGAUACCCUGGUAGUCCC